rnacentral:rRNA from 1 species
UACGGGAGGGAGCAUAGCGUUAUUCGGAAUUACUGGGCGUAAAGCGCACGUAGGCGGCUUUGUAAGUUAGAGGUGAAAGCCUGGAGCUCAACUCCAGAACUGCCUUUAAGACUGCAUCGCUUGAAUACCUGGAGAGGUGAGUCGGAAUUCCGAGUGUAGAGGUGAAAUUCGUAGAUAUUCGGAAGAACACCAGUGGCGAAGG